UUCUUAUUGCUUUCUAGGUUGCUCCCCAUGGUCUUGCAUAAACCAAUAUAUACAGGGUCCCAUUCAUUGGAAAGCCUGUAAGAUGCCAGUACAGCCCCAAAUGAGUAGUACUGGUCUGGGAGGGGGUGUGGCCAGAGUAGCCAGGAGAUGCACUAUUUUAGCGCAUUCUCAGUGCAGCCUCUGCUGGAGGGCCUGGUAGAAACUGUAGCUGCUCUCCCUCAGGAACUUUUGUGAGAGGGUAACGGUAACAAUACAACCUGCUCUGUCCCAGAGAUGACUCUUCCUGCUAUUGCUAGAGCAUAGUGGCCCUUGCAGUUGCAAGGAGGUGCAAUUUGCACUCUGUGUGCCGGUCAGGGUGACUCUAGCUCAAAUGCCUUGGAAAACUUUGAUUUGAUUAUUAGUAUUGCAGACUAUUUCAAGUCUGUACCAACCAGCACUGAAAAAUGGGGCGGAUCCAUCAGUCCUUACUUGACUAAUAGGGGACGACUCUUGUGAUUAAGGAUUACUGAUGUGAAUAAAGGUUGAAGGAUAAGGUCCACUCUAUUAGAUCAAAUGUUAGGACUAAUGAUACAAAGGCUAAAUGUGGGGACCAAAAUAUACAUGUUUUAUAAGGGUCCUCACUACCCAUAUUCCCAAAUAUGUGGACAUGACAUCAUGUACCCAGGAAACCAGUUCUCCAUUUGGUCAUCUACACAGCUAUGUGAAGGAAACGUUAUUCAACUGUGCUCAAAAAUCUAACUAAAAUGCAGUGGUGUUUUCCACCCUAAAGAAUGGCACAGAAACACAGGCUUGCUGUCCGUAAAACAUCAAAAUAUUAGUUUCCAUAUGAAACACAUUUUUGGUUACUCAUCAGUUUAAAGUGGUAAGAUAAAAUAACCAGAAUUACCUGUACUGGAGUGAACUAUCCCCAGGAAGAUCCACCUAGGUCAUGUCCUACAAAUGUAUGAGAAGCACACACAUUUAAAGCGAUUAGAUAGAAAAACAACCCAAAGUGGACAAAGAAAACCUUUAAAAGAUAGUCUCAAAGAGAAACUCUAGCAGCGUAGUAGACAAAUGCCACCCACUCACAUCAACAGGUGGGGGAAAUGGAUGGAUCCGGGGACACACCCAGUAGAAAGGGAAGGAGGCAGUUGCCAAGGACAAUAAGUAGUUCCUCCCAUGGGAAUCUCUGGCACCCAUUGGCCUGCUGGGGGAGAGGGUUGCUGAUUGGCCAACAUUCCUCAGCUCCUAGGAUUUAGCCCUGCGCAGGGGCCAUGUGGAAAGCUCUUUCGGCUCCGUUCCAGCAGCCUGCCCUGUCCACCCAAACUAGGAAUGGGAACCCAGUUUGACAGAUGCUGUGGGUCUAGAUGAUUGCCUGUUUAGGGGGGUCAGGAAGGAAUUUAUUCUCCCAUGGACCAAAUUAGCAGAGGACCGGGCAGUUUUUUGCCUUCCUCACAGCGCUGCAAGCCACCGUGGGUUAAUUAGGAAUGUGCAUGGUACCUAGCUGAGGUACUGGGGUAGUGUUGCUUACUUGUCACAGUUCACGGCUGGUUGCCAGUGCAGUUAAGAGAAUAAAAUGAAUGGCUCCCAGAGGUAAAAGAUUUGGGAUUUUGGGGAUGGGCCUUGGGUUCAUGUGGUAGGGUGAGACCUUGUGGCCUCUGUGGACCAAGGUCCCAACCCUGCUACACCCUCUGUCCCUCCUCCGAGGGGGGAGGAUGCUAGAACUCAGAAAGAGCUGAGGAGAGCCUACAUCACUUUAUGGGUUAUACGGUAAGAAGCCCUAUAAUCUUGGCUCCAAUUAUGGGUCAUAUCAUACGGAGCCCUCAAGUCCCUGCACUGGAACCAAUUAAAUGCCUGGUAUACGAGAAUAUGGGUGAUGGGAGGGCAAUGCCCUGCCCUUGUGCUAAAAGUUUAAUAAAAGUUGCAGCCUGCCGCUUAAUUCCAUGCAUUUGUCUGUCCUUGUUUUGUAGCCGUGUCCACAUCAAUGCACUUAAGGAAACUAUAGCUACUGAAUGAACUAAUUCUUUAUGCAUGAUAAAUAAUGAUGGAGUGAAACUAUUUGAAGAUAACUUUCAUUGGACUUGAAAUGCCAACUGCAUCUGCCACACAUCACCCACAGUAUCAGCUUCGUCAAUGAAAUAUCAGGAGUACCCUGCCUGUAUCAGUUCCCCAGAGGCCAUCUUUGACUCCUUCUCUGGCUGUGCUUGUACAGAUGUCAACUGUGGAUAAAGAUAGUUCUAGAAAGAAACUGAUGAAGGAACUGCUACUUAGCAAGAGAUGUUGUGGUCCAGUGAGGAGGACAGAGGACUGUGAGGCAAGUGCCCUGGGAUUUACUCCCAGAUCUGCCUGAACUCCCUCUUUAUCCUUAAGCAAGACACUAAAAUAUUUCUGCCCCUCAGUUUCUUCAGCUGUAAAAUCUGAGAUCUAUAGAAGAAAACUGCCCUGUCCUCAUCAUUAUUUACUACUCUGCUAAGUAUUAUUGCUUUAUGGCCGAGAAGGACGGAAACUGGUAUAAAGGUGUGAGAUGCAGAAUACCACCAGUCAAUACUGUCAAUGCACAGACACCAGAGAGUACGGGCCAGAUAACAAAGCUGUAUCAAUUUACACCAGCUGAGACGCUGGUCCAUUUGUUUGUUCCAAGAAGUAAAAUGAAGGGUAGAUGUUUGAAAGGCCAGGAAUCUGAUUAGGUCAUUAAAAAUAAGUGAACAAAUUUAAUGUAAAAAGUGAGUUGUCCAGAAGAAUUCUAGAGACUUGAACAUCAAUAAUCAUUAAGAAUUACCCAUAUUUCCCUGUUAAAAAGUAUCCAUUCCCAGGUUUACCAGUUUUCAAUAGCCUCCUCAUUUAAAAUAAUUUUUACAGUUAGGGCUGAAAAAAAAUUCCACGUUAACUCAUCACCGCUGCUUGAUCAUGAGUCUCUCUACGCAUCACUUCUAAUGGAAUAGCCAAGCAAACUGAAAAAUAACAUUGCUGGCUGUUCAGCACUCUAUAUCCUCCUGCAGCAUUAAACGGCCUAUAUACGAAAGGAACGCUUCGAACACAUAACAUUCAUUUAACAUUCUCAAGUGUAAAAUGAAAGUUCUUCAUUAUUGUAUAGUCUGUUAUCUGUCAGAAUAAUCCUUCCAAGGAGUUAGACACAUUAUUAUUAUGGAGUUACUGGUUGUGACUCCAUCAUUAAGGCGGUCUUGAAAAAUGCAGUUAAAGUGAGUUCCAUUAAUUUUUAUAGGUACAACAAAAAUAUUUCCUCCCCAAAGUCACACCUCUGAUUAAAGGCAUAUAGACUGAAUAUUUGUGAAAGAUUUAAGUGACUGAAUUGAAAAGGUUAAAAGUAAGAAGAAUUUUGUAAAUGCCCCCUUUAUGAAAAUUUUCACUAGUUUAAAACAUUUAUUUGGAUCUCUCUAAUUAAAACAUAGGAAAGUUAUAUUUACCACAUAGCUAUUGUUAGUGUCUCCAGUUUAUGGUAUGUGCUGAAUUAAUAUUUACAAAAUAAAUAAUUUAUUUACUUUUGUGUCAGAAUUUCUUCCAUUUACUCUAAGGCACAUGACAAAUGACACAACCAGGAUAUUCAUAGGGGCUAGGACAAGAUGUCAAGUACCUGCAGCAGUGCCGCAUGCAGUAGCCCCGCUCUCAGUGGCUGCCUUUUGCAUCAUACCUUGAAGCUCUAUACCCUCCAGUCAAAGGGUUCAUCUACUCCUUGUUUCUGUCCCCACCAGUGUAAAGUGCAAUAUUGUAAGAAACAGCAUAGUAUAUGUUAUACCAAUGGAAUAAAAACCAGCAGGAUCUUAUUAAGAGGGAUAAGGUAAAGAUGCCACAUUUAUUGUAAAUAUAAUAAUAAAGCAAAAGA